rnacentral:rRNA from 1 species
CCUACGGGUGGCAGCAGUGAGGAAUAUUGGUCAAUGGGCGAGAGCCUGAACCAGCCAAGUCGCGUGAAGGAUGACGGCCCUACGGGUUGUAAACUUCUUUUGUCAGGGAGCAAUUGGGUCCACGCGUGGGCUUAGCGAGAGUACCUGAAGAAAAAGCAUCGGCUAACUCCGUCCCAGCAGCAGCGGUAUUACGGAGGAUGCGAGCGUUAUCCGGAUUUAUGGGGUUUAAAGGGUGCGUAGGCGGAAUAUCAAGUCAGCGGUAAAAAUUCGGGGCUCAACCCCGUCGUGCCGUUGAAACUGAUGUUCUUGAGUGGGCGAGAAGUAUGCGGAAUGCGUGGUGUAGCGGUGAAAUGCAUAGAUAUCACGAAGAACUCCGAUUGCGAAGGCAGCAUACCGGCGCCCAACUGACGCUGAGGCACGAAAGCGUGGGUAUCGAACAGGAUUAGAUACCCGUGUAGUC